rnacentral:misc_RNA from 1 species
GAUGAAGAACGCAGCGAAAUGCGAUACGUAAUGUGAAUUGCAAAUUCAGUGAAUCAUCGAGUCUUUGAACGCACAUUGCGCCCCCUGGUAUUCCGGGGGGCAUGCCUGUCCGAGCGUCAUUGCUGCCCUCAAGCACGGCUUGUGUGUUGGGUCCCGUCCUCCGAUCCCGGGGGACGGGCCCGAAAGGCAGCGGCGGCACCGCGUCCGGUCCUCGAGCGUAUGGGGCUUUGUCACCCGCUCUGUAGGCCCGGCCGGCGCUUGCCGAUCAACCCAAAUUUUUAUCCAGGUUGACCUCGGAUCAGGUAGGGAUACCCGCUGAACUUAAGCAUAUCAAUAAGCGGAGGA